UACGAAGGGGGCUAGCGUUGUUCGGAAUUACUGGGCGUAAAGGGCGCGCAGGCGGCCCUCCAAGUCAGGCGUGAAAGCCCCGGGCUCAACCCGGGAACAGCGCUUGAGACUGGGGGGCUUGAGUUCGGGAGAGGAGAGUGGAAUUCCCAGUGUAGAGGUGAAAUUCGUAGAUAUUGGGAAGAACACCGGUGGCGAAGGCGGCUCUCUGGACCGACACUGACGCUGAGGCGCGAAAGCGUGGGGAGCAAGCAGG
rnacentral:rRNA from 1 species